rnacentral:rRNA from 1 species
UGAGGAAUAUUGGUCAAUGGGCGAGAGCCUGAACCAGCCAAGUAGCGUGCAGGAUGACGGCCCUACGGGUUGUAAACUGCUUUUGCGGGAGAAUAAAGGUGGCCACGCGUGGCCAUUUGCAGGUAUCCCGUGAAUAAGGACCGGCUAAUUCCGUGCCAGCAGCCGCGGUAAUACGGAAGGUCCGGGCGUUAUCCGGAUUUAUUGGGUUUAAAGGGAGCGUAGGCCGCCUGGUAAGCGUGUUGUGAAAUGUCGUUGCUCAACAACGUCACUGCAGCGCGAACUGCUGGGCUUGAGUGUGCGGAAAGCGGGCGGAAUUUGUGGUGUAGCGGUGAAAUGCUUAGAUAUCACGAAGAACUCCGAUUGCGAAGGCAGCUCGCUGUAGCAUUACUGACGCUGAAGCUCGAAGGUGCGGGUAUCGAACAGGAUUAGAUACCCUGGUA